UACAGAGACUGCAAGCGUUAUUCGGAUUCACUGGGCGUAAAGGGUGCGCAGGCGGCCGUGUGUGUCAGGUGUGAAAGCCCGGAGCUUAACUCCGGAAUUGCGCCUGAAACUACAUGGCUAGAGCAUUGGAGAGGGUAGCGGAAUUCACGGUGUAGCAGUGAAAUGCGUAGAUAUCGUGAGGAACACCAGAGGCGAAGGCGGCUACCUGGACAAUUGCUGACGCUCAGGCACGAAAGCGUGGGGAGUAAAAGGG
rnacentral:rRNA from 1 species